UGGGGAGUCGUCUAGUGGUAGGACAGCGGACUCUGAAUCCGUAUGCGGGGGUUCGAAUCCUCCCUCCCCAGCCA
rnacentral:tRNA from 1 species